AUUGAACGCUGGCGGCAUGCUUUACACAUGCAAGUCGAACGGUAACAGGCCGCAAGGUGCUGACGAGUGGCGAACGGGUGAGUAAUGCAUCGGAACGUGCCCAGUCGUGGGGGAUAACGCAGCGAAAGCUGCGCUAAUACCGCAUACGAUCUAUGGAUGAAAGCGGGGGACCGUAAGGCCUCGCGCGAUUGGAGCGGCCGAUGUCAGAUUAGGUAGUUGGUGGGGUAAAGGCUCACCAAGCCAACGAUCUGUAGCGGGUCUGAGAGGACGACCAGCCACACUGGGACGGAGACACGGCCCAGACUCCUACGGGAGGCAGCAGUGGGGAAUUUUGGACAAUGGGCGCAAGCCUGACCCAGCAAUGCCGCGUGCAGGAAGAAGGCCUUCGGGUUGUAAACUGCUUUUGUACGGAACGAAACGGCUCUGGUUAAUACCUGGGGCUAAUGACGGUACCGUAAGAAUAAGCACCGGCUAACUACGUGCCAGCCGCCGCGGUAA
rnacentral:rRNA from 1 species